rnacentral:lncRNA from 1 species
UUUUUUUUUUUUUUUCUCUUUGACAUGAAGUCUCUGUUGCCCAGGCUGGGGUGCAGUGGCACAAUCUCAGCUCACUGAAAGCUCCGCCUCCCAGAUUCAUGCCUUUCUCCUGCCUCAGCCUCCCAAGUAGCUGGGACUACAGGUUCUCGCCACUAUGCCUGGCUAAUUUUUUGUAUUUUUAGUAGAGAUGGGGUUUCACCGUGUUAGCCAGGAUGGUCUCGAUCUCCUGACCUCUUGAUCUGCCCGUCUCGGCCUCCCAAAGUGCUGGGAUUACAGGCGUGAGCCCCCGUACCCGGCCUCCAUGUUUUGUUUAUGCAUUCAUCCAUUGGUGGUUACAUAGUUGUGUCCACUUUCCGACCAUGGUGAGUAUUAUUGCUAUUAACAUUGUGAACACUGUUGUUAUUAACAUGGAGGUACAAAUAUUCUGAGACUCUGCUUUCAGGGGUAGAUUCCCAGAAGUAGAACUGCUGGAUCAUAUGUUGAUUCUAUAUUCAGCAGAACUUCCUGGUGUCCUGCUGGGGCCUGGUUUCUGCCUGGGGCCGGGUUUCUACCCGGGGUGUGGGUAUCUACUUGGUUGCUGUUGUUUACCUUGGUCCUAGAUACCCUCCUGGGACCUGGUGUGCACCUGGGGCCUAUGUCCACCUUGGACCUGUUGUUUCUCUGGGGCCUUGUGCCACCCUGGGUGUCAGUCUGGUUUCUGAUAUCCACGUGGGGCCUCAUAAGCCACCUGGGACCUGCUGGUCCCUUGGAGCCUGGCAUUCUGGGUCCUGAUGUCACCAUGAGGUGUAGGUAUCUACCUGGGGCCACAGGUCCAGCUCUGGUCUAAGUGUCUCUGAGUGUCCCUGUGGGGCCUGAUACUCACCAGGGGCCUAGGCGUUUAUUUGAUGCCUGGUGUCCAUGUGGAACAUGCCAUCCCAUGAGGAUAGAUAAUCAGGUGGGGACUGGGUAUCCAUCUCGGGCCUAUUGUCCUCCUGGGGCCUCAGUGUUUACCUGAGUCUGAUAUCCAUCCUGUGCCUGCUGCCUACAUCGGGCCUCAUGUUCCCCUUGAUGCUGGAUGAUCACCCGAGUCCUUGGUAUCCUUUGUGGCACAACUGUCCACCUAUGGUUUUGCAUCCAGCUGUGGCCUGGAUGUGACCCCGGUGCUUGAUGUACAGCUUGAGACCAUGUCCACCAGAGGCUUGAUGUCCAUCUGGGGACCGGUGUCUACCUGGGGCCUGAUGUCUACGUGGGGACUGAGCACUCACCUGGGGUCUGAUGUCCAUUUGAGGCCUCCUGUGUUCACCUUGGGCCUGAUAUUUACCUGGGGCCUGGACAUCCACUAGGAGCCUGGAGUUCAAGUGGGGCCUCAUAUUCCACUGGGGCCUGUGUGUCAAUCUGAGACCUGACAUACACCAGGACGUCUGAUGUCCCAACUGGGACCUGGUAUGUACGUGGGGCCUUGUGUCUACCUGGGGCCUGGUAUUUACCUGGGGCCUGGGUGUUCACCUGGGGCCUGAUACUUAGCUGGGGCCCGGUGUCCACCUUGGGUCUGCUUGUGUGCCAAACUGUGACAUAAUUUGUCCACUUGGGGCCUGAUGUCCAUGCAGGCACUGGAGUCCCCUUGAGACCUUGUGUCCACCCAGGACCUGCUAUCAACGUGGUGUCUGAUGUCCAGUGUCUGUUUGUGGCCUGAUGUUUUCCUGGGUCCUUGGCUUCCACUGGGGCCUUCUGUCCACCUGGAGGGAGUGUGUCGUCAUGCACUGGCCCUUGUCCUGGGGAGAAUGGGUGGGGAGAUUCCCUGGCCCUGCCCUUCAAUGUCCAAGAACUCUCCAUCCUACAUAUUUUAUGGGGAGAUUCCUCUGUUGCAUUUGGCCAGAGAAUAUGUUACCUUUCGGUUGUUGAGGACUGGUGUUUACGACUGGGGACUUGGGAUCCACUUGAAGGUUGGGUGUCCAUGUGUAACCUGAUGUACCUCUGGGUCCUGUAGUAGCUUCCUGCUGUCUCCCUGUGGCCUGGGUGUUUCACUGGGGCCUGGGUAUCAGCUGGGAGCCUAUUAUCACCAGCAGUCUGGUGUCCACCUGGAGCCUCAUCAGGCUGCCUGGUCUCUGGUGUCCACCUGAGGCCUGAUGUCCAUUUGUAUCUUGGUCUCGUCCUGGGUCCUGGUGUCUGCCUGGGGCUUGGUGCCCUCCUGG